rnacentral:rRNA from 1 species
AUUGAACGCUGGCGGCAGGCUUAACACAUGCAAGUCGAGCGGGGUGAUGGUGCUUGCACUAUCACUUAGCGGCGGACGGGUGAGUAAUGCUUAGGAAUCUGCCUAUUAGUGGGGGACAACAUCUCGAAAGGGAUGCUAAUACCGCAUACGUCCUACGGGAGAAGGCAGGGGAUCACUUGUGACCUUGCGCUAAUAGAUGAGCCUAAGUCGGAUUAGCUAGUUGGUGGGGUAAAGGCCUACAAAGGCGACGAUCUGUAGCGGGUCUGAGAGGAUGAUCCGCCACACUGGGACUGAGACACGGCCCAGACUCCUACGGGAGGCAGCAGUGGGGAAUAUUGGACAAUGGGGGGAACCCUGAUCCAGCCAUGCCGCGUGUGUGAAGAAGGCCUUAUGGUUGUAAAGCACUUUAAGCGAGGAGGAGGCUCUUUUGGUUAAUACCCAAGAUGAGUGGACGUUACUCGCAGAAUAAGCACCGGCUAACUCUGUGCCAGCCGCCGCAGUAA